AACGAACGCUGGCGGCAGGCUUAACACAUGCAAGUCGAGCGCCCCGCAAGGGUAGCGGCCGACGGGUGAGUAACGCGUGGGAACUUACCCUUAUCUUCGGGAUAUCUCCGGGAAACUGGAAUUAAUACCGAAUGUGCCCUUUGGUGGAACGUUUUAUCGGAUAAGGAUCGGCCCGCGUUGGAUUAGCUAGUUGGCGUGGUAAAGGCCUACCAAGGCGACGAUCCAUAGCUGGUCUGAGAGGAUGAUCAGCCACAUUGGGACUGAGACACGGCCCAAACUCCUACGGGAGGCAGCAGUGGGGAAUAUUGGACAAUGGGCGCAAGCCUGAGCCAGCCAGGCCGCGUGAGUGAUGAAGGACUUAGGGUUGUAAAGCUGUGUCAACGGAGAAGAUAAUGACGGUAUCCGGAGAAGAAGCCCCGGCUAACUUCGUG
rnacentral:rRNA from 1 species